rnacentral:rRNA from 1 species
UUGGAGGGCAAGUCUGGUGCCAGCAGCCGCGGUAAUUCCAGCUCCAAUAGCGUAUAUUAAAGUUGUUGCAGUUAAAAAGCUCGUAGUUGAAUUUCGGGAUCAGUUCGUCGGUCGUGCCUUUGGUAUGUACUGGUGUUACUGGUUCCUCCCUUCUGACGAACCGUCAUGUCAUUAAUUUGGUGUGGCGGGAAAUCAGGACUGUUACUUUGAAAAAAUUAGAGUGUUUAAAGCAGGCUCGCGCUUGAAUACAUUAGCAUGGAAUAAUGAAAUAGGACGUUCGAUCCUAUUUUGUUGGUUUCUAGGAUUGACGUAAUGAUUAAUAGGGAUAGUUGGGGGCAUUAGUAUUCAAUUGUCAGAGGUGAAAUUCUUGGAUUUAUUGAAGACUAACUACUGCGAAAGCAUUUGCCAAGGAUGUUUUCAUUAAUCAAGAACGAAAGUUAGGGGAUCGAAGACGAUCAGAUACCGUCGUAGUCUUAACCAUAAACUAUGCCGACUAGGGAUCGGAUGAUGUUAAUUUUUUAAUGACUCAUUCGGCGCCUUACGGGAAACCAAAGUGUUUGGGUUC